rnacentral:sRNA from 1 species
UGAGUAUAUCCAUCUCGUUCAUCUUCUACUAUCCUAUUGUGAAGUGUUAUACAAGCUCGCAUAAUAUUUUCUAUUUUUACCUUAUCCCAAAUAAGAGCUGGAUUUUUGACAAUUGCAAAUCGAGCUUGCAAAACUCCAAAAGCUCGCUCCACAUCUUUACGGUAAGUUUCUUAUUUGGUUGCA